rnacentral:pre_miRNA from 1 species
CAACUACUCCCUCUGUCCCAAAUUUCUUGUCUUAGAUUUGUCUAGAUACGGAUGUAUCUAAUACUAAAAUGUGACUUGAUACAUCCGUAUCUAGACAAAUCUAUGACAAGAAUUUUGGGACGGAUGGAGUACUUU